rnacentral:rRNA from 1 species
GAUGAACGCUGGCGGCGUGCCUAAUACAUGCAAGUCGAGCGAACGGACCAGAAGCUUGCUUCUCUGAUUUUAUCGGCGGUCGGGUGCGUAACUCGUGGAUAACCUACCUAUCAGACUGGGAUAACUUCGGGAAACCGUAGCUAAUACCGGAUAAUAUUUUGAACCUCAUGGUUCAAAAGUUAAAUACGGUCUUUCUUUCACUUAUAGAUUGAACCGCCCUGCAUUAGUUAGUUGGUAAGGUAACGGCUUACCAAGGCAACGAUGCAUAGCCGACCUGAGAGGGUGAUCGGCCACAGUGGAAAUGGGAGAAGGAGCAAAAUCGGAAGGGAGGCAGGAGUAGGGAAUCUACGGCAAGGGGCGAAAGCGUGAAGGAGAAACGGCGCGAGAGUGAUGAAGAGCAUCGGAUCGUAAAACACUGUUAUUAGGGAAUAACAUAUGUGUAAGUAACGGGGCAAAAAUGAAAGGUACCGAAGCAGAAAGCCACGGCUAACUACGU